GCAAGUCGAGCGGAUGAGUGGAGCUUGCUCCCUGAUUCAGCGGCGGACGGGUGAGUAAUGCCUAGGAAUCUGCCUGGUAGUGGGGGACAACGUUUCGAAAGGAACGCUAAUACCGCAUACGUCCUACGGGAGAAAGCAGGGGACCUUCGGGCCUUGCGCUAUCAGAUGAGCCUAGGUCGGAUUAGCUAGUAGGUGAGGUAAUGGCUCACCUAGGCGACGAUCCGUAACUGGUCUGAGAGGAUGAUCCGUCACACUGGAACUGAGACACGGUCCAGACUCCUACGGGAGGCAGCAGUGGGGAAUAUUGGACAAUGGGCGAAAGCCUGAUCCAGCCAUGCCGCGUGUGUGAAGAAGGUCUUCUGAUUGUAAAGCACUUUAAGUUGGGAGGAAGGGCAGUAAAUUAAUACCUUGCUGUUUUGAAGUUACCAACAAAAUAAACACCGGCUAACUUCUUGCCCACCGCCCCGGUAAUACCAAAGGGGGCAGCGUUAAUCGGAAUUACUGGGCGUAAAGCGCGGGUAGGUGGUUCAGCAAGUUGGAAGUGAAAUCCCCGGGCUCAACCUGGGAACUGCCUCCCAAACUACUGAGCUAGAGUACUGUAGAGGGUAGUGGAAUUUCCUGUGUAGCGGUGAAAUGCGUAGAUAUAGGAAGGAACACCAGUGGCGAAAGCGACUACCUGGACUGAUACUGACACUGAGGUGCGAAAGCGUGGGGAGCAAACAGGAUUA
rnacentral:rRNA from 1 species